GUACACAAAAAUGCACAUACUGUGAGCUCGAUGAGUAGGGCGGGACACGUGGUAUCCUGUCUGAAUAUGGGGGGACCAUCCUCCAAGGCUAAAUACUCCUGACUGACCGAUAGUGAACCAGUACCGUGAGGGAAAGGCGAAAAGAACCCCGGCGAGGGGAGUGAAAAAGAACCUGAAACCGUGUACGUACAAGCAGUGGGAGCCUCUUAAUGGGGUGACUGCGUACCUUUUGUAUAAUGGGUCAGCGACUUAUAUUCUGUAGCAAGGUUAACCGAAUAGGGGAGCCGAAGGGAAACCGAGUCUUAACUGGGCGUUAAGUUGCAGGGUAUAGACCCGAAACCCGGUGAUCUAGCCAUGGGCAGGUUGAAGGUUGGGUAACACUAACUGGAGGACCGAACCGACUAAUGUUGAAAAAUUAGCGGAUGACUUGUGGCUGGGGGUGAAAGGCCAAUCAAACCGGGAGAUAGCUGGUUCUCCCCGAAAGCUAUUUAGGUAGCGCCUCGUGAAUUCAUCUCCGGGGGUAGAGCACUGUUUCGGCAAGGGGGUCAUCCCGACUUACCAACCCGAUGCAAACUGCGAAUACCGGAGAAUGUUAUCACGGGAGACACACGGCGGGUGCUAACGUCCGUCGUGAAGAGGGAAACAACCCAGACCGCCAGCUAAGGUCCCAAAGUCAUGGUUAAGUGGGAAACGAUGUGGGAAGGCCCAGACAGCCAGGAUGUUGGCUUAGAAGCAGCCAUCAUUUAAAGAAAGCGUAAUAGCUCACUGGUCGAGUCGGCCUGCGCGGAAGAUGUAACGGGGCUAAACCAUGCACCGAAGCUGCGGCAGCGACACUAUGUGUUGUUGGGUAGGGGAGCGUUCUGUAAGCCUGUGAAGGUGUACUGUGAGGU
rnacentral:rRNA from 1 species